rnacentral:lncRNA from 1 species
GACGCGUCGCUACCAGCAAGCGAUUGCGUGGUGAAGGAACGUCUUCCUCCACUGCACCAGAACCAGCACCAGCACCAACACUUCCACCUCCACCACAACAGCAAUUAGUCCGACCUCGGAAAGCACCUGCUGUGAACCCAUCCACACCUGGCCGUCAUCCAUUGUGGACAUUCCCUAAUGCAGACAAUGAAAGUAGAUUCCAAGUCAUGAGAUGGAAGCAAGUGAUGGCGGGCCAUUGCAUAGACUUUACAUCCCUAGAGAGAGU